AUUCUGGUUAUCCUUGCAAGGCAGAAGAGUUGCCUGUUGCUGGUGAACCGUGCUACGAAUGCCUAACUACGUCCCUUUAUCACUGCGGCAUCUAAAAAUUCCCAGUGAGUUGCAGAUUUAAUCUUGCUGUAUUCCCGCAAAGCGGGGAAGUAUUGCACAGGUCAGAAACACUGGUAUUCCAAAAUGCGUGUAACAGGCACGCGGCCCGUGUGAGAAUUCAGAAUUUAUUUAGAAUCUCAUAUUUAAAACAAUUGCCACUCUCCAGUUCUGUUUUUCGUAAUGGAAUAUAACUUAUGUGGCUUUAAAAGAAUGAACACGGCUGUCUGACUUGGCUUGCAUUGCUUAUCCUGACCCAAACACAGAAUGCAGUGGUGCCCCGCAAGACGAAUGCCUCGCAAGACGGAAAACCCACUAGACGAAAGGGUUUUCCGUUUUGGAGGUGCUUCGCAAAACGAAUUUCCUAUGGGCUUGCUUCGCAAGACGAAAAUGUCUUGCGAGUUCCUGCGGGGUUUUUUUCCUUUUAGCCCCCUUUUCCCAAGCCGCUAAACCGCUUAUCAGCUGAUGGCUAAGCCGCUUAACAGCUGAUCGCUAAGCCGCUUAUCAGCUGAUCGUUAAGCCGCUUAUCAGCUGAUCUUUAAGCCGCUUAACAGCUGAUCGCUAAGCCGCUUAUCAGCUGAUCCGCUAAGCCGCUAAGCCGCUAAUACUGUAGCGCUAAUCUGCUAAACCGCUAAUGGGCUUGCUUCGCAAGACGAAAAAGCCCGCAAGACGAAGAGACUUGCAGAACGGAUUCUUUUCGUCUUGCGAGGCACCACUGUACUGAGCUUUUUAACUAGGCGGUGAGAGGGAGCCUCAGGAAUGGUGAGAGGGAGCCUCAGUUCUGGUUCAGGUGGGCCAAGGGUUAAAGGGGCAGAUGAUGUGGUUAAGGACAGGCUCAGUGCAAGAGUCCAGAUCAAGCAAACAUGAAACCCAAACCAGGAGAUGUGGUCAUCAUGGCCAUUCAUGGUCAAGGAGACCAGGUCAGGUCUCCAUGUUGCCAUCAGGUGCUCAGACUAAGGCACCAGGUUUGCAGCAAGAGUUACAUAGGGCUCUUCCAGAUACAGGGGUACCUCGGGUUACAUACGCUUCAGGUUACAUACGCUUCAGGUUACAGACUCCGCUAACCCAGAAAUAGUGCUUCAGGUUAAAAACUUUGCUUCAGGAUAAGAACAGAAAUCGUGCUCCGGCGGCGUGACAGCAGCAGGAGGCCCCAUUAGCUAAAGUGGUGCUUCAGGUUAAGAACAGUUUCAGGUUAAGUACGGACCUCCGGAACGAAUUAAGUACUUAACCCAAGGUACCACUGUACAGAAUUUGUAACAUUGGAGUUUGCAGGGUUCCUCGUCCCCUGCCUGCUGGAUUUUUCUGCAUGCUUCCACAUGAUGUCAUUAUCAUUCCACUGUGAUUCUGGAGUAUUCUAGUCGUCAAACUGCUUUUUCUUCUGUCACAAAAAAACCCCACAACAUUUGCGAAAGAUCCAGAACAGUUGUGCCGUAUUUCCAUUGCAUGGGGGCUGUUUUCCAUAAUUUCCUGCAUUUGUGUAGAGUUCGGGGUGUUUGGUGUGAAUGACUUCUGUUUCAUGCCUUUCCCCUUGAUUGGCACCUUUUUAAAAACAACAACAACAGCCAGGUUUGUUGUUUGUUUGUUUUUGUCCAUAGCUCAGACCAAAACAGGGAAAUCAAUAUGUUUCAAACAUCUAAUCUCCCUCAUGAACAGAAUGCCAGCUGUUAACUACUACAACAACCAAUGACGCAAAGCUAUUACCCAGAGUCCUGAAACAGGGCAAGAAAGGAAUCUUCUAGGGCUGGUUGACAUGAAAGGUGAUCCAACCAAAAGAGCAUCUUAAAUCCACACAGCCUCCAUUGAAACAAACAGCACCAGGGGGGUAGGAACAGUUCUGCAGUAGGAACCUUCCAUACCAGGAUUCCUGUUUGAGAGGGGCCAGAGCUGGUGAACACCUGCCUUUACUUCCCAAAGGUCUGAGGUUCAAUUUCCAUUAUCACCAGUUGGAAGGACCAGGGAGCAGGUUAGACUAGGGUUACCAGAUGUCCCCGGUUCCGGGGACAGUCCCUAGAUUUGCAAAUCUGUCCCCGGGAAACGUGGCAGUGGCAGCCUCAGCAGCCUGCAGCCAGCCUGGUAGCGGAGUUGGCUCUGGCUGGCUUCAGGAGCUGCUCGCUGCUGUGGCACCCGCCAUUUUCCCUCGCUGUAAGUCCCCAUAUGAUGUGUUGCACACAAGACACAUUACAGUGGUACCUCGGGUUAAGUACUUAAUUCGUUCCGGAGGUCCAUUCUUAACCUGAAACUGUUCUUGGCUAAUGGGGCCUCCUGCUGCCGCCGCGCGAUUUCUGUUCUCAUCCUGAAGCAAAGUUCUUAACCCGAGGUACUAUUUCUGGGUUAGUGGAGUCUGUAAACUGAAGCAUAUGUAACCUGAAGCAUAUGUAACCCGAGGUACCACUGUAUAUGGGGACUUCCGGUGAGGAAAAAUGGGUGCCACGGCGGCAGGCAGCAAGCAGCUCCUGAAGCCAGCCAGAAUUGUCCGGGCUGCUGACUGACGCUGACGCCGCCACAGCCGAAGGGGAACCAGGGACGUCCAGCGGUACAGAUCUCCUCCCCCCUCCCCCCUUUGUUUUAACUGAUUGGGGGAGGCUCAGGAGUUGAGGCCAGCUGGCCAUUGCCCAAUUUUUAAAAGACUCUGUGCAUUUAUGUUUCACAGGGUGCGAAAGAAGGGCUUUGCACUUUGCCUGGCAGAGAAACUGCAGGCUUUGCACCCCUCCUGGGCAACGGCCGCCUGCCCACGACUCCCGAGCCUCCCCUGAUCUCCUGCCCCCUUCUGUCAAAACAAAGGGGGAAGGGGGCAGGAGAUCGGGGAAGGCUCGGGAGUCACAGAUGGGCAGUGCGCUGUUGCCCAGUUUUUAAAAACUCUGCGCAUUUAUGUUUCACAGGGUGCAAAAGAGGGGCUUUGCACCUUUAUACGAUAUGCAUGUGUGCUUGGGACCAGGGUCUUUUGCCUCAACAUCCCCACUGCUGACUCCCUGUUGCUACUCAGCUUCAAAAAAAAAAAGUGUCCCCGGAUUCAUUGAAAAAAAUCUGGUAACCAUAGGUUAGACAAUACUGGGCUAGAUAAACAAAUGAUGUAAUCCAGUAUAAGGCAGCUGUCCGUGGCUAAUAAUAAUAAUAAUAAUUUUAUUAUUUAUAUUCCCCCCCCUCCCCCAAAAAAAAAUCUGGCUGGGUUUCCCCAGCCACUCUGGGCAGCUUACGGCAAAUAUAAAAGCAUAAUAAAAAAUCAAACAUUUUAAAAAUCAGAAUAUCUUAUACAGACUAUAAAUAAACCAAUAAACCAAUACAAACUAACAACAACAAUAAACAGUUUACAGUUAUGUCCAGUGCUUUUUUUUCUGGGGGGACGCAUUCCCCCAAACAUUUUAUGAAUCUUUAUACUUUUGUCCAUUGUAUUUAUUUUUCCCUAUUUGAACUACAAAAUGGUGAAUUUCUUGAGUCAAAAUGAGAGUACCCCUAAACAUUUUUUAUAGAAAAAAAAAGCACUGGUUAUACCCAAAUUAAAAUAACCGCCAACCCCAACUAAACAUUUAACCAACCCCAACCCGACGAAAACAAAACAGAGGAACCGAAAUUAAAGCCUUUUAAAACAUUUUAAAACAUUUUAGCCAGUUGCCCCAGCCCAAGAGUUGUUCCAGCAAAGACCCAAUGGCCUCCCAGGAUCCUUUUUCAGCCGUUCUGGUGAGUGUGGGCCCCACCCCAUAGGGCAGGUAGAAAUGGGCCUUGCAACAGGGAGCAGGUCUUCCUUCCAUCACUCAUGGUGGCAGCAGCAGCAGCAGCGAGUCCCAUUGAACUGAAGGUGGUUUACUCCUAGGUAAGGGUGCACGCUGUGGGUUAAACCACAGAGCCUAGGGCUUGCCGAUUGGAAGGUCAGCGGUUUGAAUUCCCGCGAUGGGGUGAGCUCCCGUUGCUCGGUCCCUGCUUCUGCCAACCUAGCAGUUUGAAAGCACAUCAAGUGCAAGUAGAUAAAUAGGUACCGCUCCAGCGGGAAGGUAAACAGCGUUUGCGUGCGCUGCUCUGGUUCGCCAGAAGUGGCUUAGUCAUGCUGGCCACAUGACCUGGAAGCUGUACGCCGGCUCCCUCGGCCAAUAAAGUGAGAUGAGCACCGCAACCCCAGAGUCGGCCACGACUGGACCUAAUGGUCAGGGGUCCCUUUACUUUACCUUUAGCCUGCAGCUACAAUUCUGCAGCUGUGGGUAAGUCUGUGCAGAUCUCUUUGCAAGCUGCCUGUGUGUAUUUAUAGAGCCAGGGCUGCCAGCUGUUGCAUGCUAACAGUACAAACCACUAGUAUUUAUUGAUUCUCUCCUCUUUCAAAAUUCCCAGUGCACAUUAUCAUACAGAAUAAUGGCAUUUGCUUCUCCCUCUCGCUGGACUUUCAAUCAUUUCUUCUCCUUCUUUUUUAAAGUCUUCUGUUUGUUUAUGCAGCUCUACGCAAAAAUUGGACAAGCUAUUGGGAAAGCAGAGGUGUUUGUAUAUUUGAAGUUGUUGGGGGUUUUUUUUGUUUGUUUUAAAGCAGCACUCAACUCCAUAUAGCAUUUCCUUCUCCAGUAAGCAUAUUCUCUGAAGACCGUUUUCUUCACUUAAAACGUUUGUUCUGGUAUUCCGAGCUUCUCAAAUAGAGGAUAAAGACCUCUUACCCCCUAGAUGCAAAUAGAAAAGGGGGUCUAACCACAGCCAUUUAAAAUAAACGCAUCCUAGCAGUGACUUUCAGUGAUUCAUUUUGAGGGGGAAGGAGGGCUGGUAAUGUUUUUGUUCCAAGUAUAGUGGUACCUCGGGUUAAGUUCUUAAUUUGUUCCGGAGGUCCGUUAUUAACCUGAAACUGUUCUUAAAUUGAAGCACCACUUUAGCUAAUGGGGCCUCCUGCUGCUGCCAUGCCGCCAGAGCACGAUUUCUGUUCUCAUCCUGAAGCAAAGUUCUUAACCCAAGGUACUAUUUCUGGGUUAGUGGUGUCUGUAAUCUGAAGCAUAUGUAACCUGAAGCUUAUGUAACCUGAGGUACCACUGUACAGUAAGAACUUUGCUUCAGGAUGAGAACAGAAAUCAUGCAGCGGGGGCACAGCGGCCCCAUUAGCUAAAAUGGUGCUUCAGGUUAAGAACAGUUUCCGGUUAAGAACGGACCUCCAGAACAAAUUAAGUUCUUAACCCAAGGUACCACUGUAUAUGAUGGUGAGAGGAACAGUAAUAAUUCUUAGAAGGGGAGAUUUGCAAUCUGGUUUCAAAUCCCCAUUCAACAGGGAUGCCAUCUACAGGGGGCCAUGGGGCCCAGUCCCCUGAAUAUUUUGGGGGCCACCCCCCCCAAUUCCACAGCGAUUCUCAAAUGUAUGUGCCAGAACAAUUUCUUUUUAUUACUCUUGUAAUAAAAAUGGUUAUUUAGGGGAUUUGAAUUUAAUUCUAAAUUAUAUACCGGAAACGUGGGAGAUUACAAGGGGUCAAAAAAAAACGGAUGUAUCGCGCCAUACUAGAAGCAAAAAAACUUGUCUUGAUGAAUUGGAAGAGCUGCAAAAAGAUCCAAUUGAGCACAUGGAUUGACAAUAUUGACUAGUUACCUACGAACGAAUCGCAUAUAGAUGCAAAUUAAGAAUGGAUAAAUAUAAAGAAAUCUGGAAGGAAUACUUAAGCGAUAAGGCAGACAGUGGUGGGAAUUAGGGGGAGGAGAGGUGGGGAAAUAUUGUUAAAAAGGUGUAGUUAUAGGUAUAUCAGUACUCAAAUCUGAAUUGUUAAAUUGUGUUAUUUGUGUUGUUGUGGUUUUUGUUGUAUAUGGUUUUUGUUGUUGUUGUUUGUAUUGAAAAAGUGAUUAAAUAUAUAUAUAUAUAUUUAAAGUAUGUGCCAGAACGAUGUUGCUUGGCCUUGUCGUGCCAUUUUGAGGCUUGCCAAGGACGCUGCAGGACAGAGCAUUCCUUUGAUGAUUGUUAAAGUGCCUUCUUGGAAGACGUGCUGGCGAUCUCUGCCAGCAGGGGUGCCAACUUGAAUAAAAUAUAGUGAGCGCCCAGGUAAGCCCUGCCUCACAUAAUCAAUCACAUGACGUAGUGACCCCCCCACUUGAAUAGGAAUGCCGGGUUGGGCGGGGCAUUGUGUGUGUGAUGUCAUACAUGCGCUAUGCCCCCCCCCCCGCAAUGUUGGGCACAACUCGGCACCUAUGCCAUUCAACAAUACAAAUUUCUUAUAAGGAAAUACCGUAUUUUUCGCUCUAUAAGACGCACCAGACCACAAGACGCGCCUAGUUUUUGGAGGAGGAAAACAAGAAAAAAAAUAUUCUGAAUCUCAGAAGCCAGAACAGCAAGAGGGACCGCUGCGCAGUGAAAGCAGCAAUCCCUCUUGCUGUUCUGGCUUCUGGGAUAGCUGCGCAGCCUGCAUUUGCUCCAUAAGACGCACACACCUUUCCCCUUACUUUUUAGGAGGGAAAAAGUGAGUCUUAUGGAGCAAAAAAUACGGUAUGUUUUCUCAUUGUCCUCAGUGCCAGAUUUACAUAUAAGCUAAACAAACCAUAGCUUAGAGUCCCACUCUCUUGGGGGGCCCCCAAAAAAUUUUUAAAGGAAAAAAAGACUGGAUGUACAUUUCCAAAAUAUAAGAUAAAAAACAAAUAAAAUAAGACCUACAUACAGCAACAGUGUUUUGUGUUGUGUAGGCUUCUAUUUGUUAUGUGCAAAUGGCUUUAGAUACCUAUUAGGUCCAUAAAUUACUAUAUAGCAUAUAUUCAACACAAAAAACAGUGAUAAUUUGUUGUUGACAAAGGACAGCUGGACAUAUAAAGGGCCCCAUUACCUUCAGUAACUUAGGGCCUCUGGCCCUGAUAUUGAAAGUUUUUUGGCAGAAGGUAACUGAAACUUUCAACAGAACUGUAUCAACAACCUUACAUUUACAGAGCAAAAUAUCCUCUUGAAUUAUAUACCCAGCACAUGGAACGUUACAAAAGGACAAUGCAAGUGCCCUUACCACAGCAAAAAGACUGAUACUGAUGAAUUGGAAAAAUAAAAAUGUGGCUCCUUUCUAUGAUUGGAUUGAAGAUCGCAACAUAUAAACAACUUGCAUAUAAAUGCAGGCUUGCCAUGGACAAAUUCAACGAUACUUGGAAUCCAUUCUAACAAAUACUGUAAUAGGUUAAGAUCUGGUGAAGUACAGUAACAACUUUGUAAAAUAAUAAAAAUAAAAAUAAAAUAAGGACGUACAGUGGUACCUCGGGUUAAGUACUUAAUUCGUUCCGGAGGUCCGUUCUUAACCUGAAACUGUUCUUAACCUGAAGCACUAUUUCUGGGUUAGCGGAGUCUGUAACCUGAAGCGUAUGUAACCUGAAGUGUAUGUAACCCGAGGUACCACUGUAUGUGUAAAAGUGUAGCACAGUACUGUGCCCUCCAACACCUGCGUACCUCCACCCACAAAAGUUCUCAGAAAAUAUACAUUUUGUAUUUUUGCCACACACCCACUAAACUGUGUUGGAAAAGGGGAACUUGAUGGAGAAGGUUGGGCAGGUAUUUUAGUCUUCGCUUACAGGAGAGCUGCCCAAGAUGACAUUCGCAGGUGACUCUUGUCUUCGGACGUGUAUUGCCACCCAAGAGCUGUGUGAUGUAGGUGUGGUGAAGAACUGGUGGUCCUUCAGAGAGCCAGUGUGGUGUAGUGGUUAAGAGCGGUAGACUCGUAAUCUGGGGAACUGGGUUUGUGUCUCCGCUCCUCUACAUGCAGCUGCUGGGUGACCUUGGGCCAGUCACACUUCUCUGAAGUCUCUCAGCUCCACUCACCUCACCGAGUGUUUGUUGUGGGGGAGGAAGGGAAAGGAGGAUGUUAGCCGCUUUGAGACUCCUUCGGGUAGUGAUAAAGCGGGAUAUCAAAUCCAAACUACUACUCUUCUUCUUCUUCUUCUUCUUCUUCUUCUUCUUCUUCUUCUUCUUCUUCUUCUUCAGAUAUUGCUCUACUCCAGCUCCCUUCCUCCUUGACCUUUGGCCAUGCUGGUUGGGGCUGAUGGGAAGUGGAGCCCGACAACUUCCAGGUCAUGUGGCCAGCAUGACUAAGCCGCUUCUGGCGAACCAGAGCAGCGCACGGAAACGCCGUUUACCUUCCCGCCAGAAUGGUACCUAUUUAUCUACUUGCACUUUGACGUGCUUUCGAACUGCUAGGUGGGCAGGAGCAGGGACCGAGCAACGGGAGCUCACCCCGUUGCGGGGAUUCAAACCACCGACCUUCUGAUCGGCAAGUCCUAGGCUCUGUGGUUUAACCCACAGCGCCUCCCACGUCCCUAUUUGAAGUCUAGGACCUGUCACCAAAAUCACAUACAAUUCCACCCUGAGGAGGCUCGGUUCACUUAGCUUAUUCUCUUGUGUUUCCUGGGCCAGCUUUUGUGGACAUUUUGACCAAAUAUGCACUCAAAACAAAAUUCAGACAUUUGACUCUGUAUUGUGGCUUUCUUUGUGCGUAGCUCACUCUUUUAUGGUAAUCAAAUGUCCUGCCAACAUUUUCUGCAGCUAUGUACACCAGCAAAGGGAACCAGAUGCUUCUUGUUUUCCUUCGAAAUAUAUAUCAGUGUUGGUUUUGUUUAGUGUUUCAGAGGAUUGGCGAAAAGACAGCCUUUAAUAAGCCUAGGCUGCAUUGCCCUGUGUUUCCCAAUGUACUAAUAGUUUUGGCUGCAGCUCCUCAUCUUGAUUUAAAAUCUGUCCUCAUCUCUCAUACAAAUGAGCCUCUCAAAAAAUAAAAAACAGGCCGGUUUAAUUCAUCUCACGUGUUUAACUUAGUUUUCAUUCAGAAUAGAUGGUUCCAUUUUUAAACAGGAAGGGGAUGUGGAAAGUAACUAAGUUUCAGCUUUCUUUCUUUCUUUUCUUUUUUGCACACAUAAGCCAAUCAGAGAUGGAGAGAUGGAAAAUUAUUUGGCCCUCUUUAGGUUUAAUGUUUGCUCCAAACAGCAGAAGGCUUUGAAAGAAGCUGCAACAGUAUCUAAGGAGAUGCCAUGUUCUUCUGUCCUAGUUUGUGGUCAGAGAGCUUCCUUGUCAAUCAACUGUUGUGUGUAAAUCCUAUCUUGUCAUCACUAGCUGAAAGAUUCGGUGGGUUGUGUUUUUUUUUUAAUCCAUUGGAAAGGGUGUGUGUGCAGUGAUAUUUCCUGAGAUAUACAACACAUCCCUAGGGAAAACGACACCAUAUCCUGAUCUUUAUCCUAAAAGUAGUCUCCUGAAUCUGAAUCCCAUUUCAGUUAUUCCCAUUUUACAGAUGAAGAACCGAGGCUGAGAAGUGCAGCUUGCCCAAAAGCUAUCUACUGAAUCAACAGCUGAAAAUGAGUCGGUGGAUUCAAACUCAAAUCAAUACCAUGGUUAGCUUUUCCACCACAUUGGAACAAGCCAUUAAACAACAACAACAACAAUUUAUGCAUCCUUUUCACUAGUUAGAAAUUUGACAUAAGUUUGAGGGGAGUCUAAACACUUUGGGACCCUUGGGGUGCCAAUUCUACCUUUUUCUGGCUCUAUUAAAGGUAAAGGGACCCCUGACCAUUAGGUCCAGUUGUGGCCGACUAAGCCGCUUCUGGCGAACCAGAGCAGCGCACGGAAACGCCGUUUACCUUCCUGCCAGAGUGGUACCUAUUUAUCUACUUGCACUUUGACGUGCUUUCAAACUGCUAGGUUGGCAGGAGCAGGGACCGAGCAAUGGGAGCUCACCCCGUCGCAGGGAUUCGAACUGCCAACCUUCUGAUCAGCAAGUCCUAGGCUCUGUGGUUUAACCCUGGCUCUAUGACCAUGCCUUUAAAAGCCACAUGAUACCUGGAAGCAUAGCAGGUGAAGCUAUUCCCAUCGGAUCUUCAUGUCUGUAGAAACAUCACCUGCUGAAUGUCUGGUUAUUUGGUUAUCUGCUAAUGGCACGGGAGCAGGUCUAGUUUUUCAGCCUAGGAUUUGUGCAAGUUGCCUCACAGGGAACAACCUGGGGGAGAGAGAGAGAGACAGAGGAGAAGCUUUCUAUUUUCCUCCAAGAAAGCAGGCAUACACAACUGCAACUGAUCUGUUCCAGUUCAGUUACGAGUCAAAGAGCGGAAAGAUUUUAACUUCAAACGGAGCCAUUAGGGUCACCUCCUCCAUCUGAUCUCCAAACCGAUCUUUUCAGUUUCUUCUAAAUGAUUUCAGCAUUCCAUUCGGCCCACCCAAGACCCAAGAGAGCAUAAACAGUGGCUGCUCCCCUGGAAGAAGAGGGCAUCUUUGAAGGGCAAAGCCAUCUCUUUCGUAGACAUUCCAGGGCUCCCUCCUGCCCAACACCUUCAUCUUUCCUUUUCUGAAUAGUCAGCAGGGACAUCUCCCACAUCCUGACUUCUACGGGUCAUUGCUCAGCCUAACUCGAAUGUCCUGCAACGUUAUGAAGUGCUGGUGGAGCCUGUGGUUUGUGGUGUGGCCUCGCAUGCUCCUGCCCCAUUGCUGCAGCUCGUUGUGGGUGCCUUCUGCCUGCGAAGGACUGGCUGGAUGAGGAAGAGUAGUGGGUGCUGCCUGCCCAAGAGCCUGAAAUAAAAAAAUUAAGGUCAUAUAUAUACACCGUAUUUUUCGCUCUAUAAGACGCACCAGACCACAAGACGCACCUAGUUUUUGGAGGAGGAAAACAAGAAAAAAAAUAUUCUGAAUCUCAGAAGCCAGAACAGCAAGAGGGAUCGCUGCGCAGUGAAAGCAGCAAUCCCUCUUGCUGUUCUGGCUUCUGGGAUAGCUGCGCAGCCUGCAUUCGCUCCAUAAGACGCACACACAUUUCCCCUUACUUUUCAGGAGGGAAAAAGUGAGUCUUAUAGAGCAAAAAAUACGGUAUAUAAAAUAAAUGUUCAUAACUGCACAUAUAAACCACAUGUCUGAAACCCCACAGAAAAAGUCCUGAAGCCAUUUUGUCCCUCCCAAAUUGACCUCAAAUAUUUCUAUGCAAGGUCGAAGGAAAAUGGAAAAGCCUCCCCAUUGUCUUCUUGUUCACAAAUCCUGUCUUAAGGGCAUGUCUGUGUAUGAAUAGGGUGAGCCUGUGACUUGGCUCAGGAACUAAGUAUUUGUCAUUACAAAAGACUGGCCAGGCUUCCCAGGUAAUCCAAUCAAGUGACCAUUAACAGGUAACCUGCCAGACAGGAGAGAAACAAAGCACUCAGAUUUCUGUUGUAGACCGCCCUUUCUAUGAUGUAGGUAUGAUGUAUCUGGGGGGUGGUCUUGAGCUACACCCUUUCUGUGAUGUAUGUAUGAUGUUUCUAGGGAUGGUCUUGGACUCCAGGGCAGGCAAUUUAAAAUGUCUAUAUAAGGGCAGACACACCUUGGUUCUGGGUCCUCCUCCUUUCCUGCAUGUGAGGGGAGCACCCUGUUGCAACAGUUCAAUAAAGAUCAGGCUUACUAGCUGCUUUGCUUCUCAAUAUUCUCUGGUUGGCCUCUGUUAUUUUCUCUGACCGAUGGAGAACCUACAAAGGACCCUAUAAGGACUCUUGUGUCCCCCAUAAGGGAAUAAGGGCAGAUUUUUGUUUAUUACAAGCCCCCCAGGAAUGACUUUAACUUUUCACAGUCAGAAUUUGGGGGGAGGGGAGUGCAGCUUAUAUUUGGGCCAAUAUGGUAAUUACUAUUUCCCUCGCAUAUUUCGCUUUUCAUUUUAGAUGAUGAAAUAGAACUGGUUGUGCUCUUUAAAAAAAAAAGGAACAAAAAUAAUAGAGAAAAUAAGUUAUGAAAGUUUUCCCUGGGGGAACAGAAUAUUCAUCACUAAUCCCCCAAGCAAUGAUAAUUGGGAAGCAAGAAAGCAAGCAGGAUGUUAAUUUAACAUUGAGUAGCCAACAACAACAGUAAAUGGCAACUGGAAGUAAAGAUUAUAGCAGGACCUUGCCCACAAGGAGAAGUUCUGCUGGAUAUUAUAGCUCCAUAUUACCGUAUUUUUCGCUCUAUAAGAUGCACCAGACCACAAGACGCACCUAGUUUUUGGAGGAGGAAAACAAGAAAAAAAAUAUUCUGAAUCUCAGAAGCCAGAACAGCAAGAGGGAUCGCUGCGCAGCGAAAGCAGCAAUCAAUCCCUCCGGCUGUUCUGGCUUCUGGGAUAGCUGCGCAGCCUGCAUUCGCACCAUAAGACGCACACACAUUUCCCCUUACUUUUUAGGAGGGAAAAAGUGAGUCUUAUAGAGCAAAAAAUACGGUAAGUGCUGUAUGGAAUCUCUGCUUUAAUUUCCCUUUCUGCUUUAAUUCUGCUUUAUGAAAAAGCAAGGCCUCAGCUUUCCCCAAGGGCUGCAGCGUGGAAGGAGCCUUAGAAAUCCUGAGGCACCAUCUUGACGAUUCAGCAAUUAAAACCAAGCCAAGGCAGCCCGAGACAUUUUGACGUGUGGGUUGGAAAAUUCAAAUGCUUUGGUCUUUAGAAAUAUACAACUAUAAACUAAGCAGUGGCCCAUUCGCUCCCCUUCCCUUGUUCUGCAGAAUCCGCUGCUUUACUGUAUCUAAUUGGAGGAUCACCUCUGAAACCUGGAGAUCUUGAAGAUAGCUUUUGCAAACAAGUGAGGGCCGAGGACAGAUUUAGCACUUCAAAGAGCAAGUGCCAUUAAAAAGGGAAAUAAUUCACAGAUUUGUCACAGAAGCCUAACCAUAAUUGGCUUGAUUUAAGGGUCCUCACUAUGAGAACAUUUCCAAAACUUUAUUCUUAAAUACCAAGGCAACUGGGCCAUUUUUCUUCCUUCCAUCUGCACUUUAUUUAUAAUGGCUUCCCACAAGCCCUUCUUUUCUUCCCUCCAUUUUUUUUCAACUAGCCUUUUUUUUCCCUAGAGAGGGUUCGACUUUGCGUUCAUUUUCUGUUUGAGAUUUAUAAACAUUGUCAAGAAUUCCAGUUGCUGAUCUUCUCGGUGACACUUUCCGCAAACCAGAUUCAUUGCUGUUCUUAAGGAUCCCUUAAUAUUUUAAUGCUCAAAAUGAUAAAUUUCUGGUUUCCAUAAGCUUCGUCCCUCCACAGACCUUUGAGGGGCUGAAGUAGGCCCCUUCACUUCUUGUGCUGUGAUUUGUGGCUAUUUUCAUAAAUUACUAUGGAUUUUGAAAUAUACUCUGAGUCGAGAGUGGAUUUCAUGCUCUUUAUUCAGCUCAUAGUGGUGAGGAGGGAAUGAAAGUCUCCCCACAGUAUCUGCUUUAUAUACAUUAUUGACACAAUGGGCUGCAUGUGAUUGGCUAAUUCCGGAAUUCUCCUGUAGGCCAAUCAGGUUGUGGAUUCACGUCCACCUGGAGCUGGAUUGGGUGGUUCCUGCAGACCAAUCAUACUGCUGCAUUGUUCUAGGACCAAUCAGACUGCUGCAAUUUUGGAUCCUAUUCAACACAGUACAUUGCAGAUUUGUUCGGUGUAUAGUUGGCCAAAAGAGGGAAAGGCGAGUUGUUGUUGUUUUGUUGUUUUUUUUAAAAAAUACUCUCUCAUGAUCCAUGAUCCACGAAGAAAUAAAGAAAAUAUUAAGAAUAUCAUAUAGUAAAAGGCCAGAGGCAUUCCUUUUAGGAAUUUUAAAUGACGAUAUUCCAAAAUACAAAACUAAAUUUUUCUUAUACGCAACGUCUGCAGCAAGAAUCCUGGUGGCUAAAUAUUGGAAAGGGAAUGAGUUACCCACUAGGGGAGAGUGGUUAUGUAAGCUUUCAGAAUACUUAGAAUUAGCCAGAUUGACAGACAUAGUAAGACAACAACCAAAAAGUGAAGUAGAAAAAGAAUGGGGGUGCCUAAAUGAAUACCUCAAAAGUCAAGGUUCGAGGACAGAAAUCUGGCUGAGCCUGGAAUAACCUUGUGAAGUGAAAGGAUAUGAAAGAGGGAUUUACAUCUAGAUGUUAGGAUAGAGAUGAUAAUGAAAACAGGAAAACAGGAAGACACAAUGAGAGAUAAAGGAGGUGCUGUGGGAUUGGUGGAAGUCAAUGUCUUGUUGUUGUUUUAGUGUUUAUAAUAUUAACUUGUAAGAUAUGGAUUUAUUUAUUUUUGUUUGUUGCUUUUUUAGUUUUCGAAUGUCGAUUUUUGUGUGUUGUGUACUGUUAUUUUUCGAUAUCUUUCGUGUUGUUGUUGUUGUGCGGAAAAUACUAAUAAAAUUAAAUUAUUUUUUUUAAAAAAUACUCUCUCACACACUCAUACACCAAGUGCUACAAAUUAAUUUUGUUUCCUAUAUGCACAGACAACUCCUCAUAACUUGACAAGGAAUGACAUUGCCCCCUCCUUCCAAGCUAUGAUUUGCUGAAGCCUUGUUGCGCUUAAAUUUUUUUUUAUCACAAAGAGGGCUUGGAAAAUCUGGCUUUACAGCUGCCUAACUUCAUUUUUUAAUAAAUGCAUCCCAAGCUUACGGUUUCCCCCUCUGAUGUCAGCUAAGGGAUAUGUAAAGAAACACACACUCUCUGUCUCCUCUCCUCUGUCUGAAAUGUAUGUGGCCUUUUACUAAAGUUGCCCUUGUUUCUAUCUAGGGUAAGAGAUGCUUUGGCUUUUAGAAACUUUUUUCACGCUGUGAGUUAAUAAAGCUUCUCCAUCGAAGAGGCCUGGGAAGGAAAUGAUGGUCAGGAUUUUGUGCUACAAUGGUGGAUUAUUGCUGAGCUAUAAAGAACUCUUCAGCCCAACCUUUCGUGUCUUUCUAAAAUAUGGCUUUGAAGUUUGCUUGGCUGUCACUGCCCUUGAAGGAAACGAAAGGGUAUCGUCACCUCAGCUUCCUUAUUCAGCACUGCCUGGGCAUUGCAUGUGAGAUAAAUAUGCUUCAUAGGCCUAUCUUUUGCAGAGCAACCCGGAACGUCCUGUGAUAUGACCUACGGUUUGUGCUGAGGCCAACAUCUGCAUACAAAAUGUUGUCAGGGUGGCACAGUCUUCGAUUUGCAAGGUGUGUGUGGAUUUCCUCUAGGGACUAGUCUAGAUAGAUGAUAGCUCAGUUUGUAGAGCAUGAGACUCUUAACCUCAGGAUUGUGGGUUCGAGCCCCAUGCUGGGCAAAAGAUUCCUGCAUUGCGGGAGGUUGUUGUUGUUGGAGGUUAUAAUAAUAAUAAUAAUAUAUGCAUUGCAGGAGCUUGUCAUCAUCAUCAUCAUUAUUAUUAUGGAGGUUAUAAUAAUAAUAAUAAAAAAAAUAAAAUAUGCAUUGCAGGUCCUGCCAACCUAGCAGUUAGCAAGCACAUCAAGUGCAGGUAGAUAAAUAGGUACCACUCUGGCAGGAAGGUAAAUGGCGUUUCCGUGCGCUGCUCUGGUUCGCCAGAAGCGGCUUAGUCAUGCUGGCCACAUGACCCAGAAGCUGUACGCCGGCUCUAACAUUUCUCAAAUGAAAAUAGGGACGUCCUACGGAAAAGUGGGACGUUCUGGGAUCAAAUCAGAAACCAGGGCGGCUUCUCACCCCAACUCACCCCAACUUCGGCUUAGACUCACUCUGACCCCUUAUAUGGGAUUUGGUAUAUAAAUUUUCCCUUGGCUUUUUUGCUGGCCCAUGUAGGACCAGCAUGAAUAGCUGGCUCAGGAGAAUAUCUGAUGUUUCCUCCCUUUAUGGUCUUGAUUUAUGGGCUACUCCUGCCAACCUAGCAGUUCGAAAGCACGUCUAAGUGCAAGUAGAUAAAUAGGUACCGCUCCAGUGGGAAGGUAAAUGGCGUUUCCGUGCGCUUCUCUGGUUCGCCAGAAGCAGCUUAGUCAUGCUGGCCACAUGACCCGGAAGCUGUAUGCCGGCUCCCUUGGCCAAUAAAGCGAGAUGAGCGCCGCAACCCCAGAGUCGGUCACGACUGGACCUAAUGGACAGGGGUCCCUUUACCUUUUUAUGCACUGAAGGAAGUUGUUGUUGUUGUUGUUAUUGUUAUUAUUAUUAUUAUAAUUUAUAAGGUUGGACUAGAUGACCCUUGUGGUCCUUUCCAACUCUACAGGUCUAAGAAUGAAACAAUAAUCCACUGAGGAGCAGUGAUGGACUUGUAGAAUUUGUCUAACCAAAGCGGCUGUGGCUCCCCUAUUUAUUUCAACUGUUGUAACAGAUCUGUGUGUCCACCCUAUUGCUGCUCGGAGUUCUUUUCUUCUCUUUGAAAUGAAUGAGGUAAAAGCACAGAGUGGUAAGGGGCCUUGCAGUCCCAGGUCCUUAUCAGUGUGCAAUUCCACAGUUACGGCGUCUCCAAUCGACGGCUGCUCAGUUACUGCUUGGAGACCUCCAGCAAACGACAGCGCAUCACUCCUCUAGAAAAUGGGUUCCGUCGUCAAGAUGUUUUCCCCAGUGUUCACCCAAAAUCUACCAUCCUGUAACUUAAAUCCACCCAGUCUGGGGCAGCAGAAAACCAGUAUUUUCCCUCUUCUAUGUGCCAGCUUUGCCACAUGGGGUGUGAGGCCCAGCCCAAGGCAUUUUGUUUUCUGUACCACAAUAGGAAAUGGCACCACCCAUGUCAAGUCGAGGUGCAUAGUCCCCAAAGCUGUCCAAACUAUUUUGGCUGCUGAGACAGAAAAUCCCACAAGAGCUUCUUCCCAGCGUGAACACGCCCUGUUCCCCCCGCCUUCCCUCAUAAGGCACGUUUAUUUCAGACUUCAGACCAUCUUUGUUGUUCUUUCCCAGACUCAUUUCAAUUUGCGUGUGUUCCUGCUCAAAUGUGCCACCCGG